rnacentral:misc_RNA from 1 species
AAGUCGUAACAAGGUUUCCGUAGGUGAACCUGCGGAAGGAUCAUUAUCACGUAAUUAUCCACGUUAUAAACCAAUAUGUGAACUGUAAAAAAACCUCUGAGUUUUUGAUCGCUUACUGUGUAAUCUAUGAGUGCUAUUUUUUUUUGUAUGGUUAAAGCACUCACACGGUGAAUUUAAGAUCAUUUUCUUCAGUUGUAAUUAACUCAUACAUUUUAUUAUUUUUUAACCACUUGAACUAAAAUUUAUUAUUCUUUUGUUUGAACUGAUUUGUUUCUUACUCACAGAAAAGAAAUUUUUUAUGAGAAGAAAUCGAAUACGAAACAAAAAAAAAACAACUCUUAGCAACGGAUAUCUUGGUUCUC